rnacentral:rRNA from 1 species
GGACUCAACGCCGGGCAGCGUCACCGGGGCGACAGCAAUAUGUAGGUCAAGCUAAAGACUUUACCAGAAUCGCUGAGAGGAGGUGCAUGGCCGUCGUCAGUUCGUACUGUGAAGCAUCCUGUUAAGUCAGGCAACGAGCGAGACCCGUGCCCACUGUUGCCAGCAUGUCCUUCGGGAUGAUGGGUACUCUGUGGGACCGCCGAUGCUAAAUCGGAGGAAAGGUGCGGGCUACGGUAGGUCAGUAUGCCCCAAAUCUCCCGGGCUACACGCGGGCUACAAUGACUGGGACAAUGGGCUCCUACCCCGAAAAGGGGAUGGUAAUCUCAUAAACCCAGCCUUAGUUCGGAUCGAGGGCUGUAACCCGCCCUCGUGAAGCUGGAAUCCGUAGUAAUCGCGUUUCAACAUAGCGCGGUGAAUACGUCCCUGCUCCUU